rnacentral:rRNA from 1 species
UACGGAGGGUGCGAGCGUUGUUCGGAAUCACUGGGCGUAAAGCGCGUGUAGGCGGCCCAUUAAGUCUGAUGUGAAAGCCCGGGGCUCACCCCCGGAAGUGCAUUGGAAACUGAUGGACUCGAGUCCCGGAGAGGAGAGUGGAAUUCUUGGUGUAGCGGUGAAAUGCGUAGAUAUCAAGAGGAACACCGGAGGUGAAGACGGGUUGCUGGGCUGACACUGACGCUGAGGCGCGAAAGCCAGGGGAGCAAACGGG